AUGGAGGACAUCAUCACGGCUGGCUCGGCCGCCGUCGCCGCGUCCCCCGGGUUUACUACCCAGGACGACACAGUGCACGGCGACAUGGACAACGAGCUCGAGUACGGCGAGGAGAAGCUGGAGCCGAAGCCGGAGGAGGAGGAGGACGAGGAGGAGGAGGAACCGGCGCCUGCUCUGGCGAGGAAACGGAAGAAAAAGAAGGGGGCGACCAGGACCGGCGAGCCGAGCAUCAACGACCAAGAUUUCAAGUACCUCCACGUCUUCAAGCGGAUCGAGAAGUGUGACAAGUGGGCGGAGGUCCAGCGCAACCUCGCCAAGGCCAAGGAGACCUACCAGCCUGACGCGCCGACGCCGGGCGCGAGUGAAGGGCGCCGCGAUGAGCUCAAGUCUGAAACUCGCCCCCCCUAUGUCAAAUUCCUGGCUCCGUCCCUGGUCGCUGGCGGCACAAACGCGUCGCCGGGCAAGGACGCGGUGUGCUUGGUGGACGCGGAGGCGUGCCAGGGUGACUCCUCCGACCCCCGGCAAAAAGCGAAGAUCCGGAUGCUGCUGCUCCUGUUGUUGUUGGUAGCCUGAAAGAACGGCAGACCGCGGCGUCGUGCUCGCCUCGGCCUUUCCCGGGCUUGGUCCCGAGCUACAAGGUCCAUAGGAUGUCGGUCGCCAGGUUCAGCCCGCACCACCCGAGGAAGAAAUCGGCCAUCGUCAGGCUCUCCUUCCGGAGGAGAUCGUACGAGGGCGAUGAAAUGACCGAAAUGACUGGCUCGGCGAAGUACCUCUACCCGCCGAGAGCGGGCCUGAGGCUGCCGUAUUCGACCGACGAGAAACCGUCGGAAGGCUGCGGGUCGGUCCUCGAGCCGUCGGUGUUCAGAGUCAGAGGGGGGAAGGCUUCUUCAAAGACAACAGGAAAUCCCUAGCCCCAAACUACUCCCCCUACACCCCGAUUGAAGCAGACAUGUUUGCCCGCGCAAGGAAGGUGUGCCACAUUGCGCUCCCGUCGCUGAAUCCCCAUGACUCCUUCCCUUCGCUUCUCAUUGUGAGCGUUCAGUUGCCUACCUAUCCCACUACCAUGUUCGGUGAGAACGACGGCGACGGUGUAAGCCCAGUCCUGUAUUUGAAGAUAUUCGACAGCUUCGACAAGGAGAUUUCUCCUCGGCUCAAGGACAGCAUCAAGGUAAGCCAAAUUAAUUGCAUUUCCAUGGCAUCAUAAUAUAACCCAUUUUGAGUACGCCUGAACAAAUUUCUGAUGAGUUCAUGGUUAUGCGGAGUGUGAUGAAUGAGGAAACGAAGAAGGUCAAGGGGUUCCCGGGGGACAACAACGUGCCCUACACAGAGAGGCUGAAAAUCCUGGCCGGCAUUAUAAACCCUGAAGACCUACAGCUCAGCACCCUGAAGACCUUCAGAAGCCGGUGUUGUCUAGAUCCUAGCACAAGUUCUACAAGGGAUCCAUUGUCAGCGUCGUUCAUUGAUUCAGAUCCAUUGUGCCAUUGGAAUGACUUGGAUUCUGCCAUUGUCACCAGCCCGAGGUUGGUUUUACGUUUCUUAUUGGAAGAGUGAGAUGCCCAGGACAGAAUCCAGUUUGUAUCAACGCCUCAUUGAAAAGAAUCAUGUAGAUUCGGCUUCAUACAAGCUUCAUAAAGAAAUAGUUUUAAGGGAGGACUUCAAAGAGUAUUUUGCCAAAUUUGGUAAAGUGCGGGCAAUACAAAAGGUAGGAAGACCAUACGAAGACCAAUACAAAUAGGAGGAUGCAUGAGCUUCAGAUAUGAAUGAAUUCAGUCAGAAGAUGGAGACUUGAAGGAGGAAUUAGUGGAGAAUGGGAAGGUGGAUAGAACAUGGGAACCAAUCAAAUACGUGUAGUAUUCCUACGAGGGGAGUGAGUAUGAGUGGAUCAACAUGUGGAGCAGCUGCUGCCUAUGAGGCGAGUGAGUGGAGACGGCCAGAUCUGUGCAGCGGAGGGGCUAUAGAAGCUCGAACGAAAGAUUCGUCGCCAGCAUCGGAGCAAUUUAUUGGGCAGAUCGACACUAAAGCUCCUGCAUGGACGUGAAGGCAUGUCUUUAUUAAGUUCAAUCUUUGGAAACUUGGCAUGUGACGCUGUGUAAAAAUAGAAGAUGCUAGAAAAUUGUCUCUGACCAAUUUCGUAUGUAGCUGUGAGCAUUGCUAAUUUUUGUCAACAUGAAUGAUAUUUGGACUAUUUAUAUAGCUACCAUGUGCUGAACAAAUUGUCUGAUUAAUGUAACCCUCCUGAAUA